rnacentral:lncRNA from 1 species
CUCAGAGUGGAACAUCAUGGUGGAAUAUCACGGUGGAGUUAGAGAUACUUGCUGCAUGGCAGUUGGGAAGUGAAAGAAAGAAAAGUGGGAAUGGAGUCCCAUUGUCUUCUUGGAAGACACUCCUUCUCCAGUGACCUAACUCCCUCCAAGCAGGCUAUAUCUCCUAAAGGUCUUGCCACAUUCCAACAGGGCCAGCAUAGGGCCUUUGUGAGACCAAGGCUUAACACUUUCGGUCCUGAUUUUAAACAUCCACCAAUUGCAUGUGUCCUUUGUGUCUACAGUGAUCUCUUUAUACCUUCCUUUCCAUGAGGGUCAUUCCCUCUUUCCUGAAAGCCUUCUAUGUCUCUCCUCAUGCUUAGGCCACUCCUCUGAGGAUCUGGAUAACACUGCCUACCAGACCUGGGAGACUUGGGGUUUGAGGACUCAGCUGGGGAAACAGGCUGGGACAGGCCUGGCUUACUGGUGAUAGCAUCCCAUGGUCAUCCUUGCUUCUUACCAUGCCCACAACCAGACUGGAGAUGGUGAUGGAUUCACUAUGUGAUCAAUGGGACUGACCCAAAGCCAGGCUGAGGUUUCUUGGUGCCAGCUCCAAAGUCUGCACAGAUCCUGCCCACCUAAAAAGACUCAGUGCCUCAGCAAGUCUUUUGAAAGUCCCUUAAGAGAACAUCAAAGUGUCUAAGAUGGGAAAUAACGAAAUCAUUCAAGCUUAUUACAAGGGACAACCGAAUGGAAUCAUUGAAGAAUCCAGAAUCGUCUCGGGUCUUUCCCUUUAGGGGACAGAAGAUGGAGAAGGGAAACCACACACAGAGGUUUAAAUAAUAGGAGGCAAAAAAGAAACUAAUAUUGUCACAAUGGGUUUUCAGGAAAUCUCUGUCCCAGAGAAGUCACUCAUGAGCAUCCUGCAGUCUGGAAGCAAGUCCUGAGUUGGAGCAUAAACAGCUUAAGGUUAUGAGUGGAGAGGACUCAACCCGCUCACCGCAGGAUUCUGCACCUGGGGCCACGCCUCCCGCAACCACAGCCAUUAGCAGGGGAUACAAAUCUGGUCCCGAGGGAGCCUGGAGAAGUUUAAGGGACACAGUGUCGACUUCUUCUGGAAAU